GUGCUAAUUUCUGAGCAGAUAUACUAAAAUUGGAAGGUCAGAAAAGAUUAGCAUUAUCCUGUGCAGUCAAUAUGCAAAUCAUGGAGGGUUCCAUAUUUUA
rnacentral:snRNA from 1 species